UGUGGAGACAGCUCUUAGGGCUGGGGAGGGAGGGAUGCGGGAAGGGGGCGGGAGCUGGAGGGUGGAGGGCUCUUUCUGAGAUGAGGAAAUGAUCUAAAACUGCCUGCGGUGACGGCUGCACAGCUCUGAAGAUGCAGAAACUCGCUGAGCUGGACGCAUUCUGAAUUGUGUGGUAUGUGAAUUAUGUCUCAGUAAAGCCAUUAAAAAAAAACACCCAGGAGCCAGGCGCAGUGGCUCAUGCCUAUAAUCCCAGCACUUUGGGAGGCGGAGGCAGGCGGAUCAUCUGAGGUCAGGAGUUGGAGACCAGCCUGACCAACAUGGUGUAACCUCGUCUCUGCUAAAAUACAAAAAUUAGCUGGGUGUUGUGGCGGGCACCUUUAAUCCUGGCUACUUGGGAGGCUGAGGCAGGAGAAUUGCUUGAACCUGGGAACGGGAGGUUGCAGUGAGCCAAGAUCGCGCCAUUGCACUCCAGCCUGGGCGACAGAGCGAGACUCCGUCUCAAAAAAACAAAACAAAACAAAACAGCCAGGCAACCAAGUAGACAAUGGAGGGAGGGGGUGACAGCUGAGGACGCCCAUUGUCUGCUGGUGCUCCAGGCGGUGCUCCCCACUCCCAGCCCAGUCGCCCCCUGCUCCUGGCCUGGAUUUGAGGCCUAGAGAGACACCUGCCCUCCCCCGGAUCCGUGCCCCGCAGAAGUGCAGUCUUGGUGCCCAAAUGUGCGCCCGCUGGGGCAGAGGAGAAUCCGCGGGGCCUGAAGCAGAAUCGCGCCCUCCCCCCAACCUGCCGGCUGCCCGGGCGCUCCCCAUGGGCCCAGACGCAGGAGACAAAGGAGAACAUGGGGGUUCAGGUAUGCACUGGGGCGCAGACAGGGCCAGGCAAGACAAGAGGGCAGGGCUGCCGGGAAGGACGAGUGCCUCGGGAGCCUCUCUGCAGGUGAGACACAGGUUGAAGCAUUGACUGAUUUGUUCUCUCGCAGUGAGGCAGGAGAGGAGGGAAUAAUUGGGGUGACCCAGGGUUGAGGCGUGAGCAAGAGAACAGCAAAGGCAGCUGGUUCUGGGUAACACUGGGCCUCACUCCUAUGGUAACAAGACAGUUUCCACUUCAGCCUCUGAUUGGCUGUGAGCCAGUCCUUCAUAAGGAGUCACCAGUUGGAGGCCUCUAAAGGGCACCUGGGGUGUUACCAAAUUCUCCUGGCUUCCUAAAAACCCUGGGGAGCACUGCCAUAGAGGCUCUGGGGCCGCCUGCUCCGCCCGCUGCCUCUCUGUGAAUUGCACCUUGUGGUCUUCAAUGAAUCUGUGCUUUCGUCACUCCGUUUUUUGCUUGUCUUGUCUUUCGUUACUUCAUUCUUUUGUUGCUUUCUUUGUGCGUGUUCAAUUCUUUGUUCUGCACACAAGAACCUAAACAACUCACAGUCGAGACCUUCCAACCAGUAACACCAGCGGCCCCUCCCCUGGGAAGCCUCCAGAGGACGGGAGGCUGCCUGUAAAAGCUGAAGAGUCCUGAGUCUUCUGCGUGAUUCCAGAGACUCCUGGGAUGCCCUGGGGUGGGGGGCAGGGGAACGCUGGGGCACGGGUGGACCCAGGAAAGAGACGUGUAGAGCGCCUUGCCCCACCACCCUCCUCCCAGGCCAUGUCAUCUGCCACCCAGGCCAGGGCUACACCUCACCUGCCACUCAGGCCAUACCAUACCCUCACCUGUUGCCCAGGCCACACCCACAUCCUCACCUGUUGCCCCUCCUCCUUGCGGCCCAGGAGGUCUCUGAAGAUGCAGGCUCUACCUUCUGCCCGGCCCCCAGCCCUCCACCCGAGAAGUGGAUGUGAAGUCACUCUGUGCAUCUCCGCCCCUUUCCCACCCAUUGGCCCUUGCCCUGCUCAGGGUCCCACGCUCUUCCCUCCUCCUGCCCCUCGUGGCCCCUCCUGUCUGCCCUGGCCCCCCCACACAUCCAGGGGGCAGUUUGCUUCCUCCACUGACCUCCCCUCUCUGUGACAUUAUCUGUUUUUACAAACUUCAGGCAUCUAAGCCGGGCACAUUGGCCCAAGCCUGUAAUCCCAGCACUUUGGGAGGCCGAGGCAGGCGGAUCACUUAAGCUCAGGAGUUCGAAACCAGCCUGGCCAAGAUGGUGAAACCCCAUCUCUACUAAAAAUACAAAAGAUUAGCCGGCUGUGAUGACGCGCACCUGUAAUCUCAGCUACUCGGGAGGCUGAGGCACGAGAAUCGCUUGCACCCAGGAGGUGGAGGCUGCAGUGAGCCGAGAUCACGCCAGGGCACUCCGGCCUGGGCGACAGAGUGAGACUUCGUCUCAAGAAAAACCAAAAAUCCAAAAGAACUACAGGCAUCGGCUGUGUCCCCACUAGGAAGCCGGAGGGGAGCAGGGCUGGGUGUGUCUUCUCUGGCUGCGUCCCUGCGGCCACAAGGCCUGUUCUUCCUCUGUGCCCCGCCUGCCAAGGACCCAGCCUUGUGAAGGAUGGAUGAAUGAAUCAUUGAGCAAAUGAAUGAGUGUGUGAACAGGUGAGUGAGGAGAAGCCGGCAGAGGCGGUGGGGUGGAUGGUCCACCCGGCUGGCCAGCGGCCUGUCACUCCCUGAGUGGCCUCUGGGUGGCAGCCAUGUGGCGCUGUCGGCUCAGGAAGGCUUGGUGCUGGAAUGGGGCUGGGACAUGGCCAGCCAGGCAGGGUGAGGAGGGUGGCAGCGCCCAGUGCAGCCUGGACAGAUGGGGUUCUGCCCGGCAGGGCUGGCAUGGGGGCUUCUUUAUGCCAAGCCAGCCCUGGGGGAGGCCUCGGCUGUCCAGGGUGAAACAGGGUCAGGGUGAUCAGGCUCGGUUUGUGGGGGCGGCCUGUCCUGCUGGAGGGUCCUCCUCACCCAACCCCAGCCUGCUGCAGGCUGUCUGCAGGGGAGAUGGCAAAGACGGUGUUGUCCAGUUUGCUUGGGACAUGAAUGGUCUGGCAAAUACGCAAUGACACAGCUCUGGGGUCCAGAUCCGGCCCAGGCGGCCGCCUGACAGAGGAGGUGCCCACAGAGCUUCCGUGAGAGGGCAGCCCAGGCCCAAGCAGCACUAGAACCCCGGCUUUGGGCUUUUGGGGACUUAGCCGGCCCCGGGGCCAGGGGUAGGAUCAGGUUUCCACAGGCCAGACGGCCCCGCACAGUCACCACCGUCACCGUCACCAUCACCCGGUGCUGGGCGGGCACCAUGUGGACUCCACUUGGCACUGGGCCGAUGGGCGGAUGCCAGAGCCAGAGCAAAGGCCUCGUUAGCCCCUCGGGGAGGGCACGGCAGGGCCGGGCGACUCAGGAGGGCUGCGGGGUGACGUCUGAUUGAGCCUGGAAGGACAGGCCGACCACAGGAUGGAGGCCACAGCAUCCUUCCCGGAGUCUGACCCCACGCUGGAGACAGAGGGGCUGGGCUGGGCUGGGCAACCUAGACCCGGGAGCCCAUCUGUCCAGCCACCAGCGUCCGUCUGUCUGGGUCCCUGCUAGGGAGAGUCUGCAGCAGGGAGACCCCGGCAGCUUCGAGUAUGGAGGGGAGACUCUGGCCGCCUGAGGUGAGUAACGUUGGGGGAUGAUUGUGGGGCUCCAUUGGGACUUGGCAGGGCUCUGGGGGUGGGCACUGCAGGGGAAGCAGCUGCAGGCAGGGUGCAGAGGAGGCUCAGCUGAGUCUCCCGCGUGGGACUUCCAACCCCUCCAGGGUCUCUCCAACCCACUUCAGCUUGCAAUCCACCCUCCUGCCCUGUGACCAUGUGUGGUCACCCGCCCUCAGGGCACAAAAGGGGUCCAGCUCUAUUUUCCAGGGACAACUCCAGACCCAUGAUCCCAGAAGCUUGGGGCCUGCCUUUAUCCCAGCACCCAACCCCGAGAGCCCCCAGUGAUGGAACUGGUGCAGCGGCCACCACUGCCCGGACCCGGGAGCAACACCGAUGCCACACCUGGCGGCAGGAACAGGGCAGUGAUGGGCUGUCUGCAAGGGGUCCCCCCUUCCGCAGCAGGUCUCUUGGCUGCAGCUCAGCCCCAGCCCCUGCGGUCCCCAGAGUCCCGGUCACUGGGGGCUCUGCAGGCCACCCUUCCAGGGGCAUCCACCCACCCCCGAGUCCGGGUCAGGCAGAACCCAGGGCCCGCCGUCCCCUCCUGCAGGCUCAGGACCUCCUGGGGGGAGUUCCCUGUGUGAUGCAGAGGGCACGCUCACCCUGCUGGGAAGGCUCACUGCUUCCCAAGGGGUCUGAGCUUUACUGGCACCUCACUGCAGUCCCUUCCCCGGGGAGACUCUGGGGCUUCCCCUGUGGGACCAGGCACCCGGAAAGGCAGCUCUGUCCCUGCUGAGUCACGCGCACCAUCCUGCAGACGGGAGGGCAUCUUCCUAGGCUUUCCUCCAGCCAAGAGUGGAGCUGGGACCUGGGAACCUCCCUGGAACCACCCCUGCUCUCCGGCAAGGCGUUCCACCAGCCUGUGUCUACACACGUAGCCCCGCAGAGCAGGCUUCGUGAUGCCUGGAGACACCCACUUCCCCUUCCUUCUCCUGGGACUUCUCAGUCACACGGGCUGAGCUGCAGAGGAGCUGGCUGCCAGGUGCUGAGCCGCCCCAAGAAAAAGCCCUCGUGGCAAGAAACUGAGGCCUCCAGCCAGCAGUCAGGGACCCGAGGCCUGAGACGGUGGAGGGUGAGCUUGCAAAGGGACCCCACAGUCGGGCCUUGAGAGGCCCACGGGCCUGGCCCACACCUCGGCUGCAGCCUUGUGAAGGUCCCUGAGCAGGGGACCCAGACUUCUGUCCUACAGAAACUUGGAGAUAAUAAAUGCCUGCUCUUCUACGGCA